GCUGGACAUGGUGAUACAUGCCUGUAAUCCCAGUUACUCAGGAGGCAGAGACAAGAGGAUUGCUAGUUCAAGACCAGCUUCAGUAACUUAACCAGACCAUGUCUCAA
rnacentral:sRNA from 1 species